AGCAAGAGUCGCGCCUACAUCGGCUUCACGGUGAACCCGCGGCGGAUGUUUGGAUUGCCUCUUCUUGCUGGUGGUGGUGGCUGCCGCGCUCGCUGGCCGCUUAGACGGCGUGUGUGCCUCUCAGACCUGGGGGACAGCAGACAGCGCGAUGCAGAAGAUGCUCGACUACGCGUAUGGCGACGGCGCCGAUUGGAAGCCCAUCCUGCAGAACAGGCCCUUGAAUUUGUCUGCCACCGCUCUAUCAAGGACGUGGCUGCUGCCGGCCUCCCCUGAAGGCCGCAAGGCGCAAGCGCUGCCCCCGCCACACGGUUGCCACCCACUCCAGCAUCCCAGAUGGGCUCCAUCUACCUCAGGUACGUUUUUUUAGUUUUCUUAUUAGGUUUUUGGCUCAGCAGCAAAUUCCUAAUCUAUUUGUCAGUUUUAGUUUGUAGAUCAAAAAGCAGCAGCCCAUUGAUUUAUUCUGAUUUGGAGGCCAAGCCGCUCCACCACGUGGCCACGGUCUUGAUGCCCCCUUGCGGCGUGGGCGCGGCCUUUGAACCAUAGGUUUUCUUUUGCCCCCUUUUGCUGUGUGGCCGCCGUAAAUGGUGAACCGUUUUAGUGUUCAACUAUUGGCGCUGGAAUCGCCGCCAUGAAGUCGGCCCCCGCACGCCGCCGCCUCUCGCUGUCGUGGAGUCGGCCUGCUCACACUCCGUCGGGCCGCCGCUUGCCGCCGAGGAUUCGGAUCGGAGCCCUGCUCGGUGUUCAACUCCUUGGUGGCGGCGGCCCCCUGGACCUAUGGCCCCGUACAGCCGUACCGACCUGCAGUGCCUCGAGUUGGAGAGUUCGCUGCAGCUAAUGGCCUCGGUGCAGGUGAUGGAGAUCCCGUUGAAGCUUGACGACGAGCAGGCUAGCCUACUGGAUCCUCUGCUCCUUCACCACGCUCAUGAAGAUAGUGCUCGAGUCCCUCAUCUACUGGUCCGUUCAGACUAAUGAUUUCAUCCAAGAUCUUGGCUAAAUGCUCUUGUCGCCCUUUCUCACGGUUGUAGAGGUAGCCUGUAGGUGGUGACAGUCCUGUUUUGUGCCAUUGUAACCCUCUACGUUCGGUAAAGGGGUAAGAGGUUCAUAAAAGACAAAAUUGGCCAGGGGAUACGAAAAAACGUGGCUUUUGCCACAGACCACUAAAAAAGAGUGUCUUUGCCACAGAUCAUUACAAUUCAGUGGUAAUUAGGUGCUGGACAUUAUGGCUCAUAUAAUAAUAUAUUUAGCUCAAAGAGGUAUGAACAUUAUUAUAAAAGACAAUUAUACCCUUACCCCUUCACAUGCACAUUUGAGUUUGAGCAAUAUAAAAAGGCCAAUAUAAUAGAUUUUUCAUUAGAUAUUUUAGCAUGCAGGUCACAAAAUACAUAAUAGCAGGUUCAGCCACAUUUGGCUAUAGAAUUCACCCUUACAACACAACAUGGUGAAAGAAAAAGGACUUAGAAGUCCAGCAAACCAAAACACAUGUUUGAGUCACAUCUGGCUAACCUGAUAGUAGCAAGUGCCCAUAUUAAAAUGCCACAACCGAAAAACAACAUACUACAUAACCUACAUUUUAAUUUUUUUGGACCUAACUACCUUCAACUACUUUGUCUUUCCCUGUCAUCGACACGCACUGGAGAUAGAGCUGAGCAGGUAAUGGGCUCUAUGGAGCCUUCAUAUUCUAGCAUCCUGUUGCGGCUGGAAAAUAGAUACAAAAGCAAGUCAACUAACUGAAAUAAAGAUGACAAGAAAAAAGACAUAAAGAUUUAAGGAGUUAUACCCCCUUGUCAUCGGGCUAGGUGUUUGGACAGGAGAGAUGGUUGUACUUGGCAUGGAUGGCUCCUGCUGUAACCUUUUUGACAUGAGAUUGUAGUAACAGAUUUUUUUUAAUGUUUGCAAAUGCAGUUGUACCUUCUUGUCACAGGGCUUGAUGUGGAAACAGAAGAAAUAAGUCUAGCUGGUGUAGCACUAUAAAUUGAUUAGAUUCAAAUUAGUGGACUGCUAUGUACUCAAGUCUCCUGAAAAUUUGAGGGGAAAGUUUAUAAUGGUUCAGCAGGUGAUGUCUAUUCUUGUGGUGGAUCAGCACCACAUGAUGGCACUAUAGUGAUAUUUUUCUUGCCUCGCUUUCUCUUUGGCUCUGGAGGGGCAGGUGGUGGUGCAUCGGAAUCAUAAACAUACUCAUUGCAAGUUUUUGCCAUAUGUCCAAGUUGUUUGCAGCUUGUGCAUCUUGUAGUU